UGGGGAAUAUUGCACAAUGGGCGCAAGCCUGAUGCAGCCAUGCCGCGUGUAUGAAGAAGGCCUUCGGGUUGUAAAGUACUUUCAGCGGGGAGGAAGGGAGUAAAGUUAAUACCUUUGCUCAUUGACGUUACCGACAGAAGAAGCACCGGCUAACUCCGUGCCAGCAGCCGCGGUAAUACGGAGGGUGCAAGCGUUAAUCGGAAUUACUGGGCGUAAAGCGCACGCAGGCGGUUGAUUGAGUCAGAUGUGAAAUCCCCGGGCUUAACCCGGGAAUUGCAUCUGAUACUGGUCAGCUAGAGUCUUGUAGAGGGGGGUAGAAUUCCAUGUGUAGCGGUGAAAUGCGUAGAGAUGUGGAGGAAUACCGGUGGCGAAGGCGGCCCCCUGGACAAAGACUGACGCUCAGGUGCGAAAGCGUGGGGAGCAAACAGG
rnacentral:rRNA from 1 species